rnacentral:rRNA from 1 species
CCUAGGGAGGCUGCAGUAGGGAAUCUUCGGCAAUGGCCGGAAGUCUGACGGAGCCACGCCGCGUGAACGAAGAAGGUCUUCGGAUUGUAAAGUUCUGUGAUUCGGGACGAAAGGGUUUGUGGUGAAUAAUCAUAGACAUUGACGGUACCGAAAAAGCAAGCCACGGCUAACUACGUGCCAGCAGCCGCGGUAAUACGUAGGUGGCAAGCGUUGUCCGGAAUUAUUGGGCGUAAAGCGCGCGCAGGCGGUUUCUUAAGUCCAUCUUAAAAGCGUGGGGCUCAACCCCAUGAGGGGAUGGAAACUGGGAAGCUGGAGUAUCGGAGAGGAAAGUGGAAUUCCUAGUGUAGCGGUGAAAUGCGUAGAGAUUAGGAAGAACACCGGUGGCGAAGGCGACUUUCUAGACGAAAACUGACGCUGAGGCGCGAAAGCGUGGGGAGCAAACAGGAUUAGAUACCCUGGUAGUC